rnacentral:rRNA from 1 species
AUUGAACGCUGGCGGCAUGCCUUACACAUGCAAGUCGAACGCGAAAGGGGGGCAACCCCCGACGUAGAGUGGCGAACGGUGAGUAAUACAUCGGAACGUACCCAGUAGCGGGGGAGUAACCUCUCGAAAGAGAGGCUAAUACCGCAUACGACCUGAGGGUGAAAGAGGGGAUCGCAAGACCUCUCACUAUUGGAGCGGCCGAUGUCGGAUUAGCUAGUUGGUGGGGUAAAAGCCCCACCAAGGCUACGAUCCGUAGCUGUCUGAGAGGACGGCCAGCCACACUGGAACU